ACUCCUUAAUGUGGGUCGGCCACCGCUGAAGUGCCCCCUUGGGCGGUCUGUGAGACUCCUGCAGCAGCUCUGCACGACUUCUGGGGUCCACAGUCCAGGACAGAUGUAAGGUUUUGGCAUCAACAUAUUCUGGGAGGCUGCGUCGUCCUAUCACAGUGAAGAAAGAAGAGUUAUUUUGAUCUGUAAGUCUGCCUGGGCGAAAUUCCUGCAACUUAUUCUCAAUUCUCAGAAACGGCCUCUAUGUUCCCUACAAAGUGUGAGAACUUUGUAAAGUGUGAUUCCAGGGAAAGUGCUCACAACCCUUGAAGGCCA